AAAACCUUUGCAAGUCCCAGCUCCAGCAUUGUCUAGCAUUGGUGCUUCUAGUGGAACAGACCGAGAUGAGCAUCUUGAUGUCAUUCCAGAAGCCACAGAAAUUCAGGGCCUUGAACAAAGCUUACAUGACAUGAGCAUUGUUGAGGAGGACUUGGAGGAAAAUGUUUUCAAUGAC